rnacentral:lncRNA from 1 species
GCGACCGGCGCGCCGCCUCGCGGUGCCAGCCCGGGAGCCCGGGAGCCCGGGCGCGGGACCAGGCUACGCGGGGCGCUGGGAGGGGACUGGUGGCCCGAGGCGGGUGGGUCGCGGGGCCCGGCUCCCCGCCCGUGGGACCGCGCGCCCUCGCCGAGCGCAGCCUCCCCGCGUGUGGGGCCCCAGCACGUGGCGCAUCCCUGCGCGCGUGCGCGUGCAGCCGGGGCCCGAGCGCCACGUGCGAGCUGGGGUGCGCGGGCACUGGUGCGUGCCGGGAGCGGGGACGCCCUGCCCUCCGAGGUUGCUCUGCCCUCCGAGGUCGCCCGCAGCUGCCGCCCGCUCUGGGCUUGGGGACCUCGGCCCUGCGCCUUUCCGCACUCCUGGCAGGUGCAGCCCCAGGAGGCAAUGGGGCAGGCAAACUGGAUGGUGCCCCAGGUGUAGCAAGCUUGGAAGGCUUCAAAGGACGGGACAAGUUUGGCCUGGACAAGUUUCCUCCUAGAAGUCACUUAAUCUGCAAAAUCAAGAUAAGACCAUUUUCCCCAUGUGACUUGACAAGACAAUAUUAAAGCUCAAGGUGAUGCAUGUAAAAAGAUUGUGGAAGCCAUAAAGCUUUAUAGAGAUACAUAAUCACUGUCUCUUCCUCAUCUCCUGCCCCAUUCUGCUACCCUUGCUUUAAUAAAAAUUGUUUCCCCGAAGUCUCCGUCGGGCUGGGGCAUAAGCUUCAAGGAGCAAAUGCACAGACCCUCCACUGACCACUACACAGAGAGUCCCAAUGCCCCUCCUCCAUCCUUCCAGAACACCCUUGGCUUUCACUCCAUCCAUCUGAGCCUUAACUCUUUAUUUUUAAGUUUUUCCUUGUUAAUCUCUGGAUAUAAAUGUAUCUAUUGCUUAAUACAUUGCUUCCUGGGUAGAAGCAGUAUUUUGUGUUCUUCUGAUAAAGGAAUUUUCUACCCUCUCAGAAAAUAC